UAGCUAGUUGGAGUGGUAACGGCACACCAAGGCUACGAUAGUUAGGGGUCCUGAGAGGGAGAUCCCCCACACUGGUACUGAGACACGGACCAGACUCCUACGGAAGGCAGCAGUGAGGAAUAUUGGACAAUGGUGGGAACACUGAUCCAGCCAUGCCGCGUGCAGGAAGACUGCCCUAUGGGUUGUAAACUGCUUUUUUACGGGAAGAAACAUCCGCUCGUGAGCGGACUUGACGGUACCGUAGGAAUAAGGAUCGGCUAACUCCGUGCCAGCAGCCGCGGUAAUACGGAGGAUCCGAGCGUUAUCCGGAAUCAUUGGGUUUAAAGGGUCCGUAGGCGGGUUUGUAGUCAGUGGUGAAAUCCGGCAGCUUAACUGUCGAACUGCCAUUGAUACUGCGAGUCUUGAAUUACUGUGAGUGGUUAGAAUAUGUAGUGUAGCGAUGAAAUGCUUAGAUAUUACAUGGAAUACCAAUUGCGAAGGCAGAUCACUACAGUAUAUUGACGCUGAGGGACGAAAGCGUGGGUAGCGAACAGGAUUAGAUAUCCUGGUAGUCCACGCCGUAAACGAUGGAUACUAGCUGU
rnacentral:rRNA from 1 species